rnacentral:rRNA from 1 species
AGAGAGGAGCUUGCUCUUCUUGGAUGAGUUGCGAACGGGUGAGUAACGCGUAGGUAACCUGCCUGGUAGCGGGGGAUAACUAUUGGAAACGAUAGCUAAUACCGCAUGAAAUUGAAUAUCGCAUGAUAAUUAAUUGAAAGACGCAACUGCAUCACUACCAGAUGGACCUGCGUUGUAUUAGCUAGUUGGUGAGGUAGCGGCUCACCAAGGCGACGAUACAUAGCCGACCUGAGAGGGUGAUCGGCCACACUGGGACUGAGACACGGCCCAGACUCCUACGGGAGGCAGCAGUAGGGAAUCUUCGGGAAUGGGGGGAACCCUGACCGAGCAACGCCGCGUGAGUGAAGAAGGUUUUCGGAUCGUAAAGCUCUGUUGUAAGAGAAGAACGGGUGUGAGAGUGGAAAGUUCACACUGUGACGGUAUCUUACCAGAAAGGGACGGCUAACUACGUGCCAGCAGCCGCGGUAAUACGUAGGUCCCGAGCGUUGUCCGGAUUUAUUGGGCGUAAAGCGAGCGCAGGCGGUUAGAUAAGUCUGAAGUUAAAGGCUGUGGCUUAACCAUAGUAUGCUUUGGAAACUGUUUAACUUGAGUGCAGAAGGGGAGAGUGGAAUUCCAUGUGUAGCGGUGAAAUGCGUAGAUAUAUGGAGGAACACCGGUGGCGAAAGCGGCUCUCUGGUCUGUAACUGACGCUGAGGCUCGAAAGCGUGGGGAGCAAACAGGAUUAGAUAUCCUGGUAGUCCACGCCGUAAACGAUGAGUGCUAGGUGUUAGGCCCUU